rnacentral:rRNA from 1 species
GGGCUUGACAUCCCACGAACCUGCCUGAAAGGGCGGGGUGCCCGCAAGGGAGCGUGGAGACAGGUGGUGCAUGGCUGUCGUCAGCUCGUGUCGUGAGAUGUUGAGUUAAGUCCCGCAACGAGCGCAACCCUCACCCCUGGUUGCCACCGGGUAAAGCCGAGCACUCGAGGGGAACUGCCAGCGUCAAGCUGGAGGAAGGCGGGGAUGACGUCAAGUCAUCAUGCCCCUUACGCCCUGGGCUACACACGUACUACAAUGGCCGGUACAAAGGGACGCGAGACCGCGAGGUGGAGCUAAUCCCAAAAAACCGGUCUAAGUUCAGAUUGCAGUCUGCAACUCGACUGCAUGAAGGAGGAAUCGCUAGUAAUCGCGCAUCAGCACGGCGCGGUGAAUACGUUCCCGGGCCUUGUACACACCGCCCGUCACACCACGAAAGCUGUCUGUACUCGAAGUCGCUGAG